rnacentral:rRNA from 1 species
AAUGAACGUUGGCGGCAUGGAUUAGGCAUGCAAGUCGAGCGAGAAGUGUAGCAAUACACGGAAAGCGGCGGAAGGGAGAGUAAUACGUGGGAAUCUGCCCUUAGACCUGGGAUAGCAGCGGGAAACUGCUGGUAAUACCAGAUAAUGUCUAUGGACCAAAGGUGUGAUUCCGUCUAGGGAUGAGCCCACGUCCUAUUAGCUAGUUGGUAGGGUAAUGGCCUACCAAGGCGAUGAUGGGUAGCGGGUGUGAGAGCAUGACCCGCCUCACUGGGACUGAGACACUGCCCAGAGACCUACGGGUGGCUGCAGUCGAGAAUCUUCGGCGAUGGGCGCAAGCCUGACCGAGCGAUGCCGCGUGCGGGAUGAAGGCCUUCGGGUUGUAAACCGCUGUCGAGGGGGAGCAACUUCCAUAGAGUUAUCUUUAUGGAUUGAGUGAUCCCUGGGGGAAAGACGGGCUAAGUUCGUGCCAGCCGCCGCAGUAUAC